GCCUGGGUGGCUCAGUCGGUUGAGCAUCUGACUUUGGCUCAGAUCACGAUCUCACGGUUUGUGAGUUCGACACCCGCAUCGGACU
rnacentral:tRNA from 1 species